rnacentral:rRNA from 1 species
UACAGAGACUGCAAGCGUUAUUCGGAUUCACUGGGCGUAAAGGGUGCGCAGGCGGCCAAGUGUGUUAGGCGUGAAAGCCUGAGGCUUAACCUCAGAAUUGCACCUAAAACUACAUGGCUAGAGCAUUGGAGAGGGUAGCGGAAUUCACGGUGUAGCAGUGAAAUGCGUAGAUAUCGUGAGGAACACCAGUGGCGAAGGCGGCGACCUGGACGGACACUGACGCUGAGACGCGAAAGCGUGGGGAGCAAACAGG